rnacentral:rRNA from 1 species
UACGAAGGGGGCUAGCGUUGCUCGGAAUGACUGGGCGUAAAGGGCGCGUAGGCGGAUGUGACAGUCAGAUGUGAAAUUCCUGGGCUUAACCUGGGGGCUGCAUUUGAUACGUCGUGUCUGGAGUGAGGAAGAGGGUCGUGGAAUUCCCAGUGUAGAGGUGAAAUUCGUAGAUAUUGGGAAGAACACCGGUGGCGAAGGCGGCGACCUGGUCCUUGACUGACGCUGAGGCGCGAAAGCGUGGGGAGCAAACAGG